AACGUAGGAGGCGAGCGUUAUCCGGAUUUACUGGGCGUAAAGCGCGCGCAGGCGGCUUUGUGAGUCGGACGUGAAAGCUCCUGGCUUAACUGGGGAGAGGUCGUUCGAUACUGCAAGGCUUGAGGUUGGGAGAGGGGUGCGGAAUUCCCGGUGUAGUGGUGGAAUGCGUAGAUAUCGGGAGGAACACCAGUGGCGAAGGCGGCACCCUCGGCCCACACCUGACGCUGAGGUGCGAAAGCGUGGGUAGCAAACAGG
rnacentral:rRNA from 1 species